rnacentral:rRNA from 1 species
GACGAACGCUGGCGGCGUGCUUAACACAUGCAAGUCGAACGGAAAGGCCCUGCUUUUGUGGGGUGCUCGAGUGGCGAACGGGUGAGUAACACGUGAGUAACCUGCCCUUGACUUUGGGAUAACUUCAGGAAACUGGGGCUAAUACCGGAUAGGAGCUCCUGCUGCAUGGUGGGGGUUGGAAAGUUUCGGCGGUUGUGGAUGGACUCGAGGCUUAUCAGCUUGUUGGUGGGGUAGUGGCUUACCAAGGCUUUGACGGGUAGCCGGCCCGAGAGGGGGAACGGCCACAUUGGGACUGAGAUACGGCCCAGACUCCUACGGGAGGCAGCAGUGGGGAAUAUUGCACAAUGGGCGGAAGCCUGAUGCAGAAACGCCGCGUGCGGGAUGACGGGCUUCGGGUUGUAAACCGCUUUCGCCUGUGACGAAGCGUGAGUGACGGUAAUGGGUAAAGAAGCACCGGCUAACUACGUG